UACGUAGGGGGCAAGCGUUAUCCGGAUUUACUGGGUGUAAAGGGAGCGUAGACGGCAGGGCAAGUCUGGAGUGAAAGCCCGGGGCCCAACCCCGGGACUGCUUUGGAAACUGCCAUGCUGGAGUGCUGGAGAGGUAAGCGGAAUUCCUAGUGUAGCGGUGAAAUGCAUAGAUAUCACGCAGAACCCCGAUUGCGAAGGCAGCAUACCGGUGCACAACUGACGCUCAGGCACGAAAGCGUGGGUAUCGAACAGG
rnacentral:rRNA from 1 species